GGUCAAUGUUAAAGGUGCGGGCACUGUGGAGGUCACUGUUAAAGGGGUGUUCACUGUGGAGGUCACUCCUAAAGGGUCAGGCACUGUGCAGGUAACUGUUUAAGAUGCGGUCAUUGUUAAAGGGGAGGUCACUGUGGAAGUCACUGUUAAAGUGGGGGGCACUGUGGAGGUCACCGUUAAAGGGGCGGGCACUGUGGAGGUCACUGUUAAA